rnacentral:lncRNA from 10 species
GACACCCAGUUAAUUUUUGUAUUUUUUAGUACAGAUAGGGUUUCACCAUGUUGGCCAGACUGAUCUUGAGCUCCUGAUCUCAAGUGAUCCACCUGCCCCGGCCUCCCAAAGUGUUGGGAUUACAGGCAUGAGCCACCGCAUCUAACCUCUUUUCUGUUACGUCUCUAUCUCUGUUCUCAGGAAUCCAGUUCUCAAGGUUAAUAGAAUUGGACUAUCCCAUAAUUACCAUUUGUUUGAUCUCGU